GUGCUGGCUUAGACAGCACAUAUACUAAAAUUUGAGCAACAUAGAGAAGAUUAGCAUGGCCCCUGCGAAAAGAUGACACAAAUUUGUGAAAUGUUCCAUAUUUUU